GAAUCCUCCGGAAAGGCCGAUUGCCCAGAAGGUUAUAAGACAGAAGCUGAGGGAAAGGACGAUUAAUGCUGGGAUUGAGAUGAAAGAGCGAGCGAGAACGUAUGAAGAACGUCGAUAAGCAUCGUAAGCAGUUUCCCUCACGAAAAUAAAUCUUUCUUUGAUGAACUCUAUGGUUUCCGUUGUGCAGGUGAAGAAACCGGUGCUUAUGGAAAUUGCUAAGCAUCCUAAUCUACCUUGGGCUCCUCUUGGGGGAAUCAUCAACCUGCCAAAACAUGGUGCCUAGUACAAGUCUGGUGAUGAUUAUCAUCGCUAACCGGAGUUUAUUACUAGCCUUUUGAGGGAGGGUGAAUCU
rnacentral:lncRNA from 1 species